UUCGGGGUGGAGCAGUCUGGUAGCUCGUCGGGCUCAACUCUCCCCUCAAAAUCGUCGAAGGUCGUAGGUUCAAAUCCUGCCCCCGCUACCA
rnacentral:tRNA from 1 species